ensembl:lncRNA
GGAAAAUCUGAGCUGGGCGGAUCAGCAGCUCCCAGCCUGGUGCUUGGCAGGCUCAGCAGCACAAGCUGACUGCUGCUGGGAAGAAACUCCCUGUUCACUAUCUUCACUUCCUGGACUGCCCAAGUCAGUGCAGACUCAUUUCUGGAAGGAUAUCCCUUGACUUCCAGGUAGCCACAGGCGCUCUGCCCAGGGACCUGCAGCAGCACGGUCUUAUAGAAAGGGCCUGGACUCGGAAGCCACACAAAGUUGCAAGUGAAUGACUGAUGCUAAUUUAUAAAGCCUGGGAACACAGCAAAGGAGUUCAGGAGAACUGAUCACAUUGGUGGCUAAUCACUGAUAUGCAGCUUGGCCGUGGCAAGGAUUGAAAUGAAAAUUGUGUGUCAGUCUUUGACAUUGAAACGGAUGACAGUAAUCAGCCCCAUGCAACAGAUCAUUUCAUUCAACUACGCAGACGCAUUUUGCAGCUAAUCCUUCUUGCGAGACUAUUACUAUGAAUCACACCUUUUUAGCUGUGUGGUCCAGAAUCUAAGUGUCUCAGAAGGUCCUGUGAGAGGGAAAGGUUUGCGCUGCCUGGCGGCACAGGGCAGACAUCUCGACUCUCACAUAUGCCCACUCUGUGGACUUGCUUUAAGCCUAUGGGCCGAGAUUGCAAACUGGCAGCCGGUGGACCGCACACAGCCUGUGGAUGUGUUCUAUUUGGCUCCACACUGUUUUGCUUUUAUUUUAUUUUUUGUUGAGGAAUAUUAACCCUGAGCUAACUGCUGCCAAUCCUCCUCUUUUUGCUGAGGAAGACUGGCCCUCAGCUAACAUUCAUGCCCAUCUUCUUCUACUUGACAUGUGGGACGCCUACCACAGCAUGGUUUGUCUAGCGGUGCCAUGUCCGCACCUGGGAUCCGAACUGGCGAACCCGGGCUGCCAAAGCGGAAGGGAAGAGCUGGCAACACUGACGCUGCGGUAACAUCAUGUGGGGCUGAGCGGAGAUGCUCGCUGGAGAUGGGACCACCGUUACCUACUGUCUCCCUCCCACUCAGUUCCAUUCACGUAUGGAAACUGCCUGGGCCCUGAAGGCGUUUGAGCUGGGGACUCUUGGCCUGUGAAGUCCCCUUUUGUCACUGGAAGAGAGCACAGCUGCUAGCGUUCUGUUCCUUUGGGCUCUCUAACCUCUCUUCCUCCACCAGCAAUGAUACCAGCAGGAAUCAGUGUUUGUGAUUCCUUCGGAUAUGUCUUCCCUGAGUUUAUAUUUAAUGCCACAGUUGAAGACAUGUGUCAUGUGACCAGUAGGUUCUCAUAUGAGGAUGAAGGGGAGGAAUCUGUCUUUGAAAUUUGCCUCUCUGCACCGUUUCUGGGUUCUUUGAAGUCCAGCGGCUUCUGUGUGUAUAGAGGAACACUCUCUGCGACCUCCAGUAUAACUGAUGCUCAAUUUCUCAAAUUUAUUUAUCUAAUAAAACUUAGAAAAUUAAAAUUUCUUAAACUACAUUUUUACGUUUAGGUCCUGACUACAAAUUAUAUUUCUUUUGGGUGAAAAUAACAGAAAGCCCUGACUGAAAAUGGCUUAACCGAGGAGG